rnacentral:rRNA from 1 species
CCUACGGGAGGCAGCAGUAGGGAAUCUUCCACAAUGGGCGAAAGCCUGAUGGAGCAACGCCGCGUGGGUGAAGAAGGUCUUCGGAUCGUAAAACCCUGUUGUUAGAGAAGAAAGUGCGUGAGAGUAACUGUUCACGUUUCGACGGUAUCUAACCAGAAAGCCACGGCUAACUACGUGCCAGCAGCCGCGGUAAUACGUAGGUGGCAAGCGUUAUCCGGAUUUAUUGGGCGUAAAGGGAACGCAGGCGGUCUUUUAAGUCUGAUGUGAAAGCCUUCGGCUUAACCGGAGUAGUGCAUUGGAAACUGGGAGACUUGAGUGCAGAAGAGGAGAGUGGAACUCCAUGUGUAGCGGUGAAAUGCGUAGAUAUAUGGAAGAACACCAGUGGCGAAAGCGGCUCUCUGGGCUGUAACUGACGCUGAGGUUCGAAAGCGUGGGUAGAAAACAGGAUUAGAUACCCCAGUAGUC